AUACUAUGACAGUUGCAUAGUUCAACAGACUGAAUCAUGAAGAGAUGUAUACCAUCUGUCUGAUGUAUCU
ensembl:snoRNA